UCCGGCUUAUCACCGGCGGUUUCUUUAGAGUGCCCAACUAAAUGAUGGCAACUAAGGGCGAGGGUUGCGCUCGUUGCGGGACUUAACCCAACAUCUCACGACACGAGCUGACGACAGCCAUGCAGCACCUGUCUCUGCGUCCCUUGCGGGAAAACCCCUAUUAGAGGGCGGUCGCAGGAUGUCAAACCCUGGUAAGGUUCUUCGCGUUGCGUCGAAUUAAACCACAUACUCCACCGCUUGUGCGGGCCCCCGUCAAUUCCUUUGAGUUUCAGUCUUGCGACCGUACUUCCCAGGCGGCGAACUUAACGCGUUAGCUUCGAAACUGAGGGCCAAGUUGCCCCCAACUUCCAGUUCGCAUCGUUUAGGGCGUGGACUAC
rnacentral:misc_RNA from 1 species